rnacentral:rRNA from 1 species
AUGAAUUCAUGGUCUUCGGGGCUACGGUACUUGGCGGGUCAUCAUGUAGAUGUACUUUCAAGAGGAACUUGGCGCGUCCAAAAAUCUUCGGGGUUUGUCGUUGGACUUGGUGGUGCUAGUCUCCUCGGUUCAACUGUGAUAUGCAAAGGCCAAAACAACAGGCAACUUGGGCGGCUCCUCAAGGCCAUAGAGAUAACAGGCAGCAGGAGGCUGCUGGUGGAGGCAGAAGCACGACGAGGAGGUCCUACUCCGUCAGCUGCAAGUGGUGGGCGAAACGUAGGCAGCAGCAAGGCUGGAGCAGGGGAGUUGCCGCGUGAUGCGAGAACUUGGCGAUGCAGGGUUUGA